rnacentral:rRNA from 1 species
GAAUAUUGGACAAUGGGCGAAAGCCUGAUCCAGCAAUGCCGCGUGAGUGAUGAAGGCCUUAGGGUUGUAAAGCUCUUUUACCCGGGAUGAUAAUGACAGUACCGGGAGAAUAAGCCCCGGCUAACUCCGUGCCAGCAGCCGCGGUAAUACGGAGGGGGCUAGCGUUGUUCGGAAUUACUGGGCGUAAAGCGCACGUAGGCGGCUUUGUAAGUUAGAGGUGAAAGCCCGGAGCUCAACUCCGGAAUUGCCUUUAAGACUGCAUCGCUAGAACGUUGGAGAGGUAAGUGGAAUUCCGAGUGUAGAGGUGAAAUGCGUAGAUAUCUGGAGGAACACCGGUGGCGAAGGCGACAUCCUGGACCGGCAUUGACGCUGAGGCGCGAAAGCCAGGGGAGCAAACGGG